GCGCAGGAAGCAGCGGGCCAGGGGCUUCGCGGCCCCGUCCUCGUGGUCGAAGGAGAAGGCCAUGACCAGGUGACUAGCAUGGCUGUGAGCUACAGCUUGAAGUCCAUGUCAUUAAGUCUUCUCCGAAUGGAAGCGUGGAGUGUGUCCGUUGGGAGUGGUCUCUCUCUGGGAUACAUGGGUUGGAGCUUGCAGGUAAGAUAGGGAGCAUCUCCAAGGCCAAAAUCUUGUCAUUUUCUGACACUGGAAGACUUCUGUGUAUCUCUUCUAGGUAGAUGUGUCCUUCCAUUUUGUUUCUCUUCUGCUGCACACUCUUCCACACUUAUCUCACACCUGCUCCUGAGCCAUUGAAUGAUGUAAGGAGACUAUCGUCCCAUCACUUGCACCAUCAGUGUGCACUGGAUCUUGCACGCCGGGCGCUGAGCACGUGGUUCCCGGAGCCCUCUUCCUUCCUUGGCAAAGAGUACAGAGAGAAAGGAGCCGCAAAAGCGGCUCCGGAAGGCCUGGAACAGCCGGUUGGAGACAUCUGCUGGGGUGGAAGAUGGCUUCGACUCCCACGUACAGCCGGGGGAUGCUUCCGGGAAGGACCGGGUUG